AUCUUUUUUGGAUAAAUAUGUAUUUAGAUGCUUGCCCAUUUUUAAUCCGCUCAUUUGGGUUUUAUAUUAUUGAGUUACAGGAGUUCUCUAUAAAUUUUGGAUACUAACCACUUCUCAGACAUUUGAUUUAGUAUUUCCUACCAUUCUGUAGGUGACUCUGUUGGUACCCUUUGAUACAUGUAAGUUUUAAAUUUUGAUAAAGUCCAAUUUGUUUGUAUUUUCUUUUGUUGCCUGCCUUUGGUGUCACUGUCAAGAAAUUGCCAAAGCAAUGUUGUUAUAAAGCAUUCCUCUGUGAGGGCUUUUAUCUUCAUAAUGAUGUUAUAGGUCAGAUAAUCACAAAGAUUUAGCUACUCCAAGUCAUUAAGCUGAAAUUCAUACUUUCUGAAGAUGUGGCCUGGCCAAUGGAAGAAUUUAGUCUCCCCAAGCCUAUAGGAGAGUUGUCCAUCUGAAAUUAAGUUAAUAAAACAAUUUAGAAUCUCUGCCUAUGACUUACAUUAAUGAUGUCAGUGAAUUAUAAUUAAAUACUAUGGAAAGCAAGUUGGAUAUUAAGGAGUUUGUUCAGUGCUUUGCUCAUAUCACUCAGGGCAGUGGACACUGAUUUUGAGGGGCAAAUUAAGGUAGUUAUUAUUAGAGAACCGGUUUUUGAACCUCUGAUGAUUCUACUUAAAAUUGACAAUUGGUGGUCAAUACUUAGUUAGCCUAGCACAGUAAAGGCAUCUAUUCAGGUGGCUCUGGCCACUGUAACUUGAGUCUCUUAGCUGGAAAAUGAGGAGGAAAUCUUGAUCUUUCCGCAGUUUCAUCUCUGUGUACAGUAUGAAGUCCUGGAAGCUGCUCAGCUGGCCAUAGAGUCCUUGAAUGGUGUUGUGGUGGAAGGUAUCUGCAUCAAGGUGCAGAGGCCUGUGACAGAGCUUACCCUUGAUUGUGACAUACUUAUGAAAGAGCUAGAACGAGAUUCUGAGAACCGAAAUACUAUUUAUGUGUCAGGAGUGAGUGAAGCCUUCAAAGAACACAUGUUUCAUGAGUGCAGCCACUUCCCAGGCCUGGAAGCUGUGUUCCUGCCUAAAGAUCUUGAAAGUGGAAAGCAGAAAAAAUAUUGUUUCCUGAAAUUCAGAACUUUUGGCAGUGCCCAGAGGGCCCUCAACAUUCUCACAGGCAAGGAUUGGAAGUUGAAAGGCAGGGCGGCCCUAACCCCCAGGCACCUCCACAAAUGGCUCAGGGGCUUCUCACCAGAAUCAAGAAGGCCUCCAGGGCUUUGAAUGAUAUCUCCUCCUUUGGAGCAGCACAUCUUGCAGGUGCGCGUACUCUGAAGACAGACCAUCCAAAGAUAGCAGCCUGGUACUGGGGCCAUAAGAUUGGAAAGCUCUACCAGAAUAUGGACCCAGGUACCCUCUGCCUCAUUCUGCUCCCAGGUUGCAAAAGCAUUCAUGGAUCACUCCCUGGCCUAGGACUGAUGGGAAUAAAAGACGAAGAGGAACGCCCCACCACAGGCAUGGGUUUGUGAGUCUGGCCCCUGUUUUCCGCUUGUCAUUUCUUAUUUCUCAUGGGCGGCUGCUAGGCCUCUAUCCAUCAGUCAGCUUCAUGGAAACUCGGUGUACCAGCUAAGAAUCUGCCAUUUACAUGUCAUGGACAAAUUUUCAUUAAAUGCCUAAAAUUCAAGCAUUCAUCUUAAGGGAAGAAACCAGUUUUAUUUUAUUUUUGUCAGUAAGUUUAUGUAGCACUCUUAUGAAAUGGGAAUGACUUUUGGAUGCAGAAAACAGCUGAAUAAGCAGUUUGUUGA